GAUAAAGCAACUCCUAUCCCUACCUCCUCGCGGUACCGGCCGGAAACUAUGAGCAACCUGAGGGAAGAUCGGAUAACCAACCCCGGUGGGAACUUUGGUUGUAGGCUGACAGGAAAGG
rnacentral:ribozyme from 1 species